CAGCACCUCAAGUGGUCAGGAUGAUUAUUGGGCCUAAAGCAUCCGUAGCCGGCGCUGUAAGUUUUCGGUUAAAUCUGUACGCUCAACGUACAGGCUGCCGGGAAUACUGCAGCGCUAGGGAGUGGGAGAGGUAGACGGUACUCGGUAGGAAGGGGUAAAAUCCUUUGAUCUAUUGAUGACCACCUGUGGCGAAGGCGGUCUACCAGAACACGUCCGACGGUGAGGGAUGAAAGCUGGGGGAGCAAACCGGAUUAGAUACCCGAGCAGUCC
rnacentral:rRNA from 1 species